rnacentral:rRNA from 1 species
AUUGAACGCUGGCGGCAUGCCUUACACAUGCAAGUCGAACGGUAACAGGUCUUCGGAUGCUGACGAGUGGCGAACGGGUGAGUAAUACAUCGGAACGUGCCCGAUCGUGGGGGAUAACGCAGCGAAAGCUGUGCUAAUACCGCAUACGAUCUACGGAUGAAAGCGGGGGAUCGCAAGACCUCGCGCGGACGGAGCGGCCGAUGGCAGAUUAGGUAGUUGGUGGGAUAAAAGCUUACCAAGCCGACGAUCUGUAGCUGGUCUGAGAGGACGACCAGCCACACUGGGACUGAGACACGGCCCAGACUCCUACGGGAGGCAGCAGUGGGGAAUUUUGGACAACGGGCGCAAGCCUGAUCCAGCCAUGCCGCGUGCAGGAUGAAGGCCUUCGGGUUGUAAACUGCUUUUGUACGGAACGAAAAAGCUCUCUCUAAUACAGGGGGUGAAUGACGGUACCGUAAGAAUAAGCACCGGCUAACUACGUG